UACAGAGGUCUCGAGCGUUAGGCGGAAUCACUGGGCUUAAAGCGUGUGUAGGCGGAUCGGUAAGUACCUUGUGAAAUCCCUCGGCUCAACCGGGGAACUGCGUCUGAUACUGGCGGACUUGAGGCAGGUAGGGGAAGGUGGAAUUCCUGGUGUAGCGGUGAAAUGCGCAGAUAUCAGGAGGAACACCGAUGGCGAAGGCAGGUCUCUGGGCAUUAACUGACGCUGAGGAGCGAAAGCAUGGGGAGCGAACAGG
rnacentral:rRNA from 1 species